UGCCAGCCGCCGCGGUAAUACGGAGGGUGCAAGCGUUGUUCGGAAUCACUGGGCGUAAAGCGCGUGUAGGCGGCUUGGCAAGUCGAGUGUGAAAUCCCGGGGCCCAACCCCGGAACUGCACUCGAAACUGCCUCGCUAGAGUCUCGGAGAGGAGGGCAGAAUUCCUGGUGUAGGGGUGAAAUCCGUAGAUAUCAGGAGGAAUACCAGUGGCGAAGGCGGCCUUCUGGACGAUGACUGACGCUGAGACGCGAAAGCGUGGGGAGCAAACAGGAUUAGAUA
rnacentral:rRNA from 1 species